GCAUCAAUGGUUCAGCGGUAGAAUUGGUCGUUGCCAGCCUCAAAAGCGAUCUCGACUAGACCCCGGUUCGACUCCGGGUUGAUGCA